UCGAUUGUUGUUAGUCUAUUUUGUUGCAUGUAUACGAAACCAAACCAGACCGGUCGUACAUUAUUGUACCAUGAUUACAGCGAGCCAUAACGAGGCAAAACGUGACUUAACAAGGCUGUUAUUGUUGCGAUUAUGUUAAUUUACCGCUAUCGAGGGCAACCGGUCGUGAUAGUAAUGAAUAACCGAAGAACCGAUUAUACUGUACUUCGUUGUACCCCACUAGGAUACACUUACUCCUCGUUUAAUCCAUUUCCAAUUUAAUACUCUACUCUUACGUCGCAUUUGACACAAUUUAUUUCAAUGCAUCUCCACUAAAUUUAUCGGAACUUGGAAUUUUUUUUCUUCCAUCCAUUCACUUUUCAUUGUUAAAACCCCUUCAAAUGUCUAAUAAAAAAAUAAUCUCAAUAUUCUAAUUAAAAUUCCUUUCCGUUCUUAAUUCAAAAAUUUCAAAUAAAUGCCACUUGCAUCCCCCCACUUUUAAUAUCACCAAAUGAAAUAUAUCACCAGGUAGUGGACUCUAGUUAUUUCAUAAACGAAUCCAUUCUUUUAUCUCGACCAUUGAUCAGCAGGUUCGUGGUUCGUUCCUCACUCGGGAACGAAAUCGUUCAUCAGACACCUGUUACCGCGAUCCCAUUUAUCUGGACAUUUUUAUCAGGCUAAUCAAAGUUGUAAUCGAGUCACUUGGAACAGGAACCACAAGUCGUGGUGAUCGAGUCGCGUGGGUAAUAAUUGAUAAAUAUAUUCGAUCGCUCCAACAACCGUGUCCGCGUGAUUAUUAUUCAUUGUGCAACUUGUAGCACAUUCAUGGGACAUAGAUAUGCGAUAACGUCGCAAAUAAUUAACGUUGAAUUAUUCGUUCCGCCUGGAAUACUCGUUCAUUCGUCGGCGUAACUCGCAGCCGGGUAAUUUCAAGUGCAAUGAAUUCUUCAGCCCCGCUCGUUGGUCAGUUCUCGCGAUCCUCGCGUUUUCCACGGCCUCUGCUGUUCCACCGAGCUCUCCUCGGCAUCAUCUCCGCGUGACACGUACUGGAACGAAGCGAAGGACGUGGUCGGUAGGCCGUGAAAAUAUGGAUGGCAAAGCCGUCUCGUUUCCUUCAACUUAAUACCGAUUAUACUCGACGCUGUGCUCCAGCCGCGUGCCAGAUUCUUUUCUGCCUCGAGGAAAUUAACCCGCGAAAGCACAUCCCGUUUCGGGGAGAUGUUUCCGUGACAUUCGUUUAAUUUUCUUCGAGCAAUUCCAAAGAGGAAUCAGUGUUUUGCGACCGUUUCUAAAAUAAGCCUCAAUUUAAUGUACUAUUUCACGGUUAAUCAGGGGUUGAAAUGGUAAAAAUGGCUGAGCAUUUAUUCAGAGGUUAAAUUAAUUUGGAAUAUUCUAUUAAAUAAUAAACGCGAAUGGACGGUUGACGAGACGGAAUUAACCAAAGUCCCGAAAACAUUUAACGAACACUGAUUUGUCGUCUAAUAAAUGUGUCGGGCUUCCGCUUAAUCCCUGCGACAAAGGAUCCGGGUCCGUUAUUUUGUCGGGUCGCGUUAAGUACCGAAAUAAACGAUAAUCCUGGUCUGGACCUAUGACAACGAGGGUGAGGGUGGGCGAGUAUUGAUUUUAUGGGGGUAUCGGCUCCGGGAACCACCGAAUUUCUCAUCCCCUCUUCGCACUGGACCUGUAACGACCCUGUGCAAAGGACAUUUCCAUCGCGAGAACGUUCCAUUUUAAGGCAAGUUUGCUCUCCAGUUUUUGUAAAACAUCAAGGUAUCAAUCAUAGUAGAGCCAGGACGCGUUAGCUGGAUUUCACCACUAUAAAAGGAAGCAUUACUCUUUAUCUACAGUCUCUGCGCACAUUUAUUCUUAUUCCGAGAAGGUAGAAGUUGGCACAGAUCAACGAGAUUUCUUCCAGAGGCAAAUAAAUAAUCAUCGCGGGAGAAAGAGGAAUAGCAGAGGCUCGCGAUAGUCCGAUCGAGGAUCGGCAAAGAGAACAGGGGACGACGGUGAUCGACGUGUUCGCGGAACCGUGCCAGCGAUAUAAAGAUCUUCGCAUUCUUUCAGACUCUUCUAUUUUUGCAUCGUUCACGCCACGACCACCGGUUUGUUGAACAAUUCAACCGCGUCGCAACUUGGCACGUACCAAAGAAAAAUUGCCAAGCGAAGCAACUCCGCGACAAGGUCUGUGUUUCGUUAGGGCAGCUCAUUGGAAUUUCGCAUUAUCGUUCAGCAGGGGUUUCGUUGACCCUGACGUUUGGCGAACACCGACUUCUUCCAUCGAAGUGAAUCUAUGAAAAUUUCCAUAAAAAGGAUGAUCAAGAGUCAGGUCACAAAGUUUCCAUGGUUGGUAGCGAUCGUACGAGGCUCAUUGGUAGCAGCAUCUCGCGCGGAAUAGUCGUAAAGUUGUCCCGAAUCGGCGGAACUCUUUCGCAUGGCCUCACACGUUCCACGGCAAUCCCGAUUGGAUUAGAUGCACCGUUGGCGAGCGCAAUGUGUCUCGCAUAUUUCCGUCACGCUCGGCCGAUCCUGUGCCUCCGUGGCGCCAGCCGGUGCCCCGUCUCCCUCUCUUUGCUCCUUAACUCAAGACCCCCCUUUCGUUCCUUGCCACCGUGUCGAGGCUGUCCCGGUGCCAGGAUCUGGUUCGAUUACGGGCCAGUUCGACGAACGACGGAAAAAUCAGCAUCGCUGAUAACGACCGAUGGGAGUUUGAACGACGACCCGACCUCGCUCCCUCCCGACGACCGCGUCCGACUUCCGGUCUUUCGUUUCAGAAAAAUGUCUUCGGUUCAGAGGUAGGUUUACAUUGUAUCGAAAACAUUCCGCACCGCUAGCAGCAGGGCAAAAACGAAGACUCGGCGUCGCGGUACCAUACGUCUACGUGAGGCAAUUUGAUCCUGCGUUUUUGCGCAAGCACGAGCGUUCCAGGUAAUGAGCGACGCUUUGCUUUUUCCUCGCUGUGGACCUCUUUUUUUUUUCGUCGUCUCUUUAAGAUACACCGUUAUGAUUCUGUAGGAGGACCGAGAGUACCGGUAUCCACGAAAUGGCCGUGCUCGAUUUCGUCGUCGAAUACCGCAGGUAUGCAUUUUAGUAGGGUAAAAGGUAAGAAACUAGACAUUUUAAUUUGAAAAUUAAUCUUUAUUAGUCUCAUAGUACAGGAUCAUUUUCAUUCUGACAUUUAACGUGUUAUUAUAGAAUCUUUGAGGAAACGAACUUCGAACAACAGGAGUCAUCGCGAAUAACCCAAAGUCAUCUGAUCAUUCCGCUCGCAUUUAGAUUCCGUUUGCGAGCCGUUACGCGGUGGAAAAAGAAGGGAAACGGAAGAUCCUGCGAGGUCGGUGAACACCAGCCUUUGGUGUCCUAGCGUAGGUCGAAGACAAAACGGCGAUGUUCGAUGGUCACGGUUGAAAAGUCUCUUCCCCAAUUUCGUUUUUGCUAGUCGGGUGCCGUUUGUUCCUAGGUGAACAGGUGCUGGAUGAAUGAUACCAGAGCGUUACAUGCACCGGAUAACGUCACGGAAGAUUUAGUUACAGCAACUGGUUCUACGGUAGUCGAUUGAACGUUGUUCGGUCACCGAGGACCCUAGGCAAUGGCAUUUAUAUUCAACGAACUGUCGGCUGUACGCUUCAGGUUUCAUCUUGCUUGAACUAGAACUACCGCCCCGUUCGAUGCAGACUUAUUUUUAAGCCGAAAAUAAUGUAGAUUAAUAGAAUUUCAUAUUUCAUUAAUAACUUUUAAAAACCAUUAUAACCCUUCCUUCGAACAAGUGGUUUCCUCUUGUUCGUCAUAGAUGGUAAAAAACCAACUUAGUCAGAACUGGGAAAAACACGAUCACUCACCGAUUUUCCUUCUAAUGACAGCUUCUUCAGGGAAGAGGUAAAAAUAAUCUGGCGCACCAGUUGAUUCAUUAAUUUCGCUUAUUCACGA